CCUCCGCGCCCUGACGGAAUAGGGCGUUGAAGGGCGUAGGCUAUGAUGAUGCCAGGCAAAUCCGGCAUCAGAGCUGAAACCUGAAAGUACGGGGUCCCCUUCGGGGGAACCUGAGAGCGAGGGUAAUCAUACUCCCGAGAAAAUGGGCUAAACUCAUGUUGGCGGUACCCGUACCGCAAACCGACACAGGUAGUUGGGUAGAACAUACUAAGGCGUUGAGAGAUUCAUGGCUAAGGAACUAGGCAAACUGACCCCGUAACUUCGGGAUAAGGGGUCCUCACCUCCGGGUGAGGCGCAGAGAAUAGGUCCAGGCAACUGUUUAACAAAAACACAGGGCUGUGCGAACUCGAAAGAUGAAGUAUACAGCCUGACACCUGCCCGGUGCCGGAAGGUUAAGAGGAGAUGUCACGGCAAGGGAAGCAUUGAAUUGAAGCCCCGGUAAACGGCGGCCGUAACAAUAACGGUCCUAAGGUAGCGAAAUUCCUUGUCGGGUAAGUUCCGACCUGCACGAAUGGUGUAAUGAUCCGGACGCUGUCUCGGCCAUGAGCUCAGUGAAAUUGUAGUAUCGGUGAAGAUGCCGAUUACCCGCGAUGGGACGAAAAGACCCCGUGAACCUUUACUACAGCUUAGCAUUGACCUUGGUCAUCCGAUGUGUAGGAUAGGCCGGAGGCUUCGAAGCGGAGUCGCCAGGCGUUGUGGAGCCAUCCUUGAAAUACGGCCCUUUGGCUGUCUGAGGUCUAACGCGGAUAGUCGCGGACACUGCUUGGUGGGUAGUUUGACUGGGGUGGUCGCCUCCAAAAGCGUAACGGAGGCUUCCAAAGGUGCCCUCGGGCCGUUUGGUAAGCGGCCUUCAAGAGUGCAAUGGCAAAAGGGCGCUUGACUGGGAGGGAGACAUCCCGAGCAGGCAGGAAACUGGGGCAUAGUGAUCCGGCGGAUGUGUAUGGAAACUCCGUCGCUCAAAGGAUAAAAGGUACUCCGGGGAUAACAGGCUGAUCCCCCCCAAGAGCUCAUAUCGACGGGGUGGUUUGGCACCUCGAUGUCGGCUCGUCACAUCCUGGGGCUGGAGAAGGUCCCAAGGGUUGGGCUGUUCGCCCAUUAAAGUGGCACGAGAGCUGGGUUCAGAACGUCGUGAGACAGUUCGGUCUCUAUCUAUCGUGGGCGCAGGAGUUUUGAGUGGUGCUGUCACUAGUACGAGAGGACCGUGACGGACAGACCUCCGGUGUACCGGUUGUGCCGCCAGGCGCACCGCCGGGUAUCCGCGUCUGGAUCGGAUAAGCGCUGAAAGCAUCUAAGUGCGAAGCUUUCCACGAGAUUAGAACUCCAUUGAGGGUCGUCGCAGACGACGACGUUGAUAGGGCGCAGGUGUAAAGACGGCGACGUCAAAGCCGAGCGCUACUAAUUGCCC
rnacentral:rRNA from 1 species